rnacentral:lncRNA from 1 species
CCUUUGGCCAGAGCAGAGCAUAAAAGAUUCUUUCCAAAAAGUGAUACUUAGAAGAUAUGAAAAAUGUGGAUAUGACAAUUUACAGUUAAAAAAAGGCUGUGAAAGUGUGGAUGAGCAUGAGCUGCUCAAAAGAGGUAAUAAUGGUCUUCACCACAGUCUGACAACUACCCAGAGAAAAAUAUUUCAAUGUGAUAAAUAUGGGACAGUCUUUCAGAAAUUUUCAAAUUGAAACAGACCUAAGAUACGACAUACUGGAAAAAAAUCUUUCAAAUGUAUAGUAUGCGGCAAAGCUUUUAACUCGUCCUCAAACCUUACUACACAUAAGAAAAUUCAUACUGGAGAGAAACCCUACAGAUGUGAAGAAUGUGGCAAAGCCUUCAAAAGGUCCUCACACCUUACUGUACAUAAGAUAGUUCAUACUGGAGAGAAAUCCUACAAAUGUGAAGAAUGCGGGAAAGCCUUUAAGCACCCCUCACAUGUUACUGCACAUAAGAAAAUUCAUACUGGAGGGAAACCCUACAAAUGUGAAGAAUGUGGCAAAGACUUUAAGUACACUUCUACCCUUAUUGCACAUAAGAGAAUUCAUACUGGAGAGAAGCCCUACAAAUGUGAAGAAUGUGGCAAAGACUUUUAAGUGCACUUCUAACCUUACUACACAUAAGAGAAUUCAUACUGGAGAGAAGCCCUACAAAUGUAAAGAAUGUGGCAAAGCUUUUCACCUAUCCUCACACCUUACUACACAUAAGAUACUUCAUACUGGAGAGAAGCCCUACAGGUGUAAAGAAUGUGGCAAAGCUUUUAACCAUUCCACAAUCCUUUUUUCACACAAAAAAAUUCAUACUGGAGAGAAAUUCUACAAAUGUGAUGAAUGUGGCAAAACCUUUACCUGGCCCUCACUACUCUCUAAACACAGGAGAACUCAUACUGGAGAGAAACCCUACAAAUGUGAAGUGUGUGGCAAAGCCUUUACUGCAUCCUUAACUCUAACUGAACAUCAGAGAAUUCAUACUGGAGAGAAACCUUACAAAUGUGAAGAAUGUGGCAAAGCUUUUAACUGGUCCUCAUACCUUCAUAAACAUAAGAGAAUUCAUAUUGCACAGAAACCCUACAUAGUGAAGAAUGUGGCAAACAUUUUAAAUAUUCCUCCACUUUUAAUAAGCAUAAGAUAAUUCAUACUGGAGAGAAACUGGAUGAAUGUGGGAAAGCCUUUAACCAGCCCUCGACUCUUACUAACUAUGAGAAUUUAUAUGGAACAUAAACUCAUACAAAUAUAACAAAUAUAAAAAAUGUGACAAAGCUUUUUUUAAAAUUUUUUUAUUUAUUUUUUUAUUAUACUUUAAGUUUUAG